GAAUUUAUCUCACAAAGUACGAGAGCACCUGGCCGAAAUCAUGUAAUAUUGCAAUGAGUUCUAUUACAUGUUCCGGGUAGGAGCUGUCGAAGAUGUGAACGUUUUAAU
rnacentral:pre_miRNA from 13 species